GCGGCGGACGGGUGAGUAACACGUGGGCAACCUGCCCUGCAGACUGGGAUAACUUCGGGAAACCGGAGCUAAUACCGGAUAACACCGAAAACCGCAUGGUUUUCCGUUGAAAGGCGGCUUUUAUCUGUCACUGCAGGAUGGGCCCGCGGCGCAUUAGCUAGUUGGUGAGGUAACGGCUCACCAAGGCGACGAUGCGUAGCCAACCUGAGAGGGUGACCGGCCACGCUGGGACUGAAACACGGCCCAGACUCCUACGGGAGGCAGCAGUAGGGAAUCUUCCGCAAUGGACGAAAGUCUGACGGAGCAACGCCGCGUGAGCGAAGAAGGUCUUCGGAUCGUAGAUGCUCUGUUGUCAGGGAAGAACAAGUACCGUUCGAACAGGGAGGUACCUUGACGGUACCUGACAAGGAAGCCACGGCUAACUACGUGCCAGCAGCCGCGGUAAUAC
rnacentral:rRNA from 1 species